rnacentral:rRNA from 1 species
AUUGAACGCUGGCGGCAUGCUUUACACAUGCAAGUCGAACGGCAGCGCGGGCUUCGGCCUGGCGGCGAGUGGCGAACGGGUGAGUAAUGCAUCGGAACGUGCCCAGUAGUGGGGGAUAGCCCGGCGAAAGCCGGAUUAAUACCGCAUACGACCUGAGGGUGAAAGCGGGGGACCGAAAGGCCUCGCGCUAUUGGAGCGGCCGAUGUCGGAUUAGCUAGUUGGUGGGGUAAAGGCUUACCAAGGCGACGAUCCGUAGCUGGUCUGAGAGGACGACCAGCCACACUGGGACUGAGACACGGCCCAGACUCCUACGGGAGGCAGCAGUGGGGAAUUUUGGACAAUGGGGGCAACCCUGAUCCAGCCAUGCCGCGUGCGUGAAGAAGGCCUUCGGGUUGUAAACCGCUUUUGUUCGGGAAGAAAUCCUGUGGGCUAAUACCCCGGGGGGAUGACGGUACCGGAAGAAUAAGCACCGGCUAACUACGUG